UACAUGUGGGGCAAGCGUUGUUCGGAAUUACUGGGCAUAAAGGGUGCGUAGGUGGUUUGUUAAGUCACGGGUGAAAGUUUUCGGCCCAACCGGAAAAUUGCCUGUGAUACUGGCGAACUUGAGUGCGUGAGGGGUAACCGGAACGAGCAGUGUAGCGGUGAAAUGCGUAGAUAUUGCUCGGAAGGCCAGAGGCGAAGGCGGGUUACUGGUACGGUACUGACGCUGAGACGCGAAAGCGUGGGGAGCGAACAGG
rnacentral:rRNA from 1 species